AAAGUCGUAACAAGGUUUCCGUAGGCGAACCUGCGGAAGGAUCAAUUCUGAGUUGAUAUCUGCACAGAGGCUCUGUGCAGGGUGUCUCUCAAUCUUGUGAUUUAUAAAUGCAAUUGGUUGAAUUCGAAAGAAUUGGCUAGUCCUUUUUUAUACUCUGGAUCUAUUAGAUCUACAUAAAACUAUAAAACUUUCAACAACGGAUCUCUUGGUUCUG
rnacentral:misc_RNA from 1 species